rnacentral:rRNA from 1 species
AUACGGAGGGUGCAAGCGUUAAUCGGAAUUACUGGGCGUAAAGCGUGCGUAGGUGGUUUGUUAAGUUAGAUGUGAAAGCCCCGGGCUCAACCUGGGAACUGCAUUUGAAACUGGCGUACUAGAGUAUAGGAGAGGAAAGUGGAAUUUCAGGUGUAGCGGUGAAAUGCGUAGAUAUCUGAAGGAACAUCAAUGGCGAAGGCAGCUUUCUGGACUAAUACUGACACUGAGGUACGAAAGCGUGGGUAGCAAACAGGAUUAGAUACCCUAGUAGUCC